rnacentral:rRNA from 1 species
UACGUAGGGUGCAAGCGUUAAUCGGAAUUACUGGGCGUAAAGCGUGCGCAGGCGGUUCGGAAAGAAAGAUGUGAAAUCCCAGGGCUUAACCUUGGAACUGCAUUUUUAACUACCGGGCUAGAGUGUGUCAGAGGGGGGUGGAAUUCCACGUGUAGCAGUGAAAUGCGUAGAUAUGUGGAGGAACACCGAUGGCGAAGGCAGCCCCCUGGGUUAACACUGACGCUCAGGCACGAAAGCGUGGGGAGCAAACAGG